UGCUGGCUGAGUUAAAGUUCAGAGUAGUUCCUGGGGUUUGGUCUUCCCUGCUCUCAUUUGUGGACAUGAAGGAAAGUCUGUGAAGACAUGGCUGCAUCUAGCUUUCACACAGGUAAAUACGGUACAGCCCAUAAUUUUUUUUUGCCAGCUGGGGAGAUUACUGUGUGCGGGAAUUUCUCAUGCUUCACAAACAGGACAAAAAGCAGUGACCCCCACUAGCUGGAUUUCUUUUCUCACCUUUAAGUCUGACUGUCUGCAUGGGCAGAGAUGUAAAAGGGCUAUUGCAUAAAUCCCAGGAGGAUGGAAGAGAAAGGGGGUUCCUGGGUGUACUGCAGCCAUGGACCACUCCUGUUGCCAGCAAAAGCAAUGGCUGCAGCUCCUGGCCAGGGCUGUGGGAAGGAGACAGAGCCUGGCAACACAGGCAGCCUUCAUGUGCGAUGCCAGAGCAGCAUGCCCACCUUCACUCGCACACUCUGUGCUCCGCGUUUUGUCUUAGCAGGCAGGUACAGCAUUGCUUGAGCAUAUGGAGAAAAAAGAUGGGGAAAACAUAAUAUUGGAGCCAGGCUGAAGCAGAUGCCCUUUUGACUUUAUCCUUAGCUUUACCCCUAGCACUCUGAGGAAAUUAAUACUUAAGCCCACUCCACAGACAGCUGGCAGGUUGCAAGCAACUCCCUGUCCCCACCGUGGACUUCCACAGUGCUCAGCUUUUGUUUCAGGGUUCAGUAGCUGCUCCAGCUGGAACAGCCCUCAGGGCCUCCCACUGCAAAGCAACCUCUGCAGCUCCAGGAUUAUCUGGCUGUCAGGACCCAGCGACUGUUGGUUUUCACUUCACCAGGCUCCUGUAGCACACAAAAUGCAAAACGAAGCCAGGGGGAGGGCAGCAGGAUACAGGACAUGGCAUCUCUGCGGAUUGCUGGCUUUCUCUGAACUCAAGCUAGCGACAGUGAAGCUGAGCAGCCGUCUCUCGCUUCCUCCAGCUGCUGAAAGGAGCUAUUUGCAAGCGUGUGCUGUGGGUAACAGUCACUUCCUUACCAUGUUUGGCCAGAGAAAGAGAUUGCACUAAACCCGGAACUGCUCAUCAUUGUGCAGUUCAGGAAAAUAUUUUAAACAUCUCUUUUGCCUUCCUGCUCUUUUUGUUUUUCUUUUUUUUUUUUUUUUUGUUAUUUUUGGUAAGGGAAGAUACAUAUGCUUCAACAAAAGGCUGAGCCAUCUCAGACCUGUCUCAACAGUUUUAUUUGACAAAGUAGCGUUCUGUGGUUGAGCUGAAACUGGCUAAAACAUAGCGCAAGCUUCAGCAAAUGCUCUCAGGGCACUUACUGAGCAAAGUGGUGGAAGGACUCAAGCACCUCAUGUGUCCCUGCCUAAGUGAAGUUAUACUACAAUGGAUAAAAAAACCAACUAGUAUACGAGCGAAAUUAAGCACUGAGCAUGAAAGCAUUAAACACUGAGUGAAGGACUGCUUUAGAAACCUGUAGUUUUAGCACUGUCUACAUGGAAAUGAAAUUAAAAUACAAUCAUUUUCCAUUUUCAAGUAAGCUUGGCUGGGAUGUGUACUGCUAGCUGGACAUCAGUUUUAAAUGCUACCAAACCUGUUA